rnacentral:rRNA from 1 species
GUUGCGGUUAAAAAGCUCGUAGUUGGAUUUCUGUUGAGGAUGACCGGUCCGCUCUUUGAGCGCGUAUCUGGUUCAGCCUUGGCAUCCUCUUGGGGAACGCUACUGUGCUUGAUUGCAUGGGGCGGUAUUCAAGACUUUUACUUUGAGGAAAUUAGAGUGUUCACUGCAAGCGUUAGCAAUUGAAUACAUUAGCAUGGAAUAAUAAUAUAGGACCUUGGUACUAUUUUGUUGGUUUCUAGAACUAAGGUAAUGAUUAAUAGGGACAAUUGGGGGCAUUCGUAUUAACGCGUCAGAGGUGGAAUUCUUAGAUUGCGUUACGACGAACUACUGCGAAAGCAUUUGCCAAGGAUGUUUUCAUUGAUCAAGAACGAAAGUAUGGGGAUCGAAGACGCUUAGAUACCGUCGUAGUCUAUACCAUAAACUAUGCCAACUAGAGAUUGGAGGUCGUUCUCUUUAUGACUCCUUCAGCACCUUAUGAGAAAUCAAAGUCUUUGGGUUCCGGGGGGAGUAUGGUC